GUGGAAAUGAAUAUCUUAUGGAAUGCCAUGAAGAUCAAAAGAGAUGUGGAAAGUCUUGAGCCCAGUGCCUGAUGGACUGAUUACACAAAGGAAUCACCCUUUGGAAGAUUACUCUGAAGAAGUGUCACCUGGGCCUCGACACACUCCAUCAUUUGGUGGCUCUACUUCAGAAAUUUCAGUCUAUAGCAGUAAGACAACACUGAAGUUAGAACUGGAAAUCAUUACAGUGUCAGCAUGACUA